UUGAUUUAAAAUGAGGACAGUUUUAUACUUUAGUGACGUAUCUGAACUUCUCUGAUGCAUUGACAUCUAAACUGGUUCUAGAAACUGUCUUUUUGUUUGUUUGUUUGUUUGUUUGUUUGUUUCUCUGUGUAGCCCUGGCUGUCCUGGAACUCACUCCGUAGACCAGGCUGACCUCGAACUCAGAAAUCCGCCUGUCUCUGCCUCCCAAGUGCUGGGAUUAAAAGCAUGCGCCACCACAAGAAGCUGUCUUAGUUAAGGUUUCCAUGGCUGUGACAAAACACCAUGACCAAACAGCAAGUUGGGAAGGAAACAGUUUAUUUGGUUUGCACUUCAUAUUACUGUUCAUCAUAUGAGGAAGUCAGGACAAGAACUCAAACAGGGCAGGAAGCUGGAGGCAGGAGCUGAUACAGAGGGGUGCUGCUCACUGGCUUGCUCCCCAUGAUUUGCUCAGUCUGCUUCCUUACAGAACCCAGGACCACCCAUGAGAGGGUCUUAUAGAACUCUCCUCCAUCAAUCAUUAAUCAAGAACAUGCCUUACAGCCUAGUCUUACGGAGGCAUUUUCUCAGUUAAGGUUCCCGCCUUUCAGAUAACUCUAGUUUGUGUGUCAAGUUGACAUAAAACUAGCCAGCACAGAAACCAAACUUUAUUUCAGAAGGAAACUUGUCCCUAGGAGUCCAGAGCAGGAUGUCUGACUCUGUGUCCUUCACAACUAAUUGGAGUCCUGGACAAGGCUGCACAUUCUGGUGGUGAUACCACCCUCCCUGGGAAACUGCCUUUAGUAAUUUUCCUGUCUGACAAUGGCAUUAAACAGAAGGUUUCAUUUUUAUGUAGUACUUUAUUAAAAUGUGUGCAAACAUAGAGUAAGCUGUAUAUUAAAAUAACUUUGUUUUUACAGGAAGGACGAUAAAGACUACGCUUUAAAACAAAUAGAAGGAACUGGAAUUUCUAUGUCGGCAUGCAGAGAGAUAGCAGUAAGUGAAGCUCUUGUUGUUACCACAUCAGCUGAUGUAGGAGUGUCAACUGUAUGUCUCUGCUCUAUGAAUUAUAUGAAUUGAAAGCUGAUAAAUAUUUUUCAUUAUAAAUAUUUCCAGAAAAUGCAUUUAAAAAAAAAAAAAAAGGAGAAUUGAGGGUGGCUUGAAGUUCUUGCAGAGUAUACAUUUAUUUGGGAUAAAUAUUACUAUAUCCUAGAGCUCCUGUUGUCAUUUCAUUCUUGUUAAUGAGUAUCAGUUAUUAUAUAAAGUCAACAGUUCUAUAUGACUGGAAUUAGUAUCUUUAUGUAUGCCAGUUUAAAAAUGAGAUUCUGCUUGAUUAUUACCAUGUUUGUUUGUUUUUUUUUUUUUUUGUAUAUUUUUUUUGGAAGCACAGCUUUCCAUAUUGU
rnacentral:lncRNA from 1 species